AUACGGAGGAUGCGAGCGUUAUCCGGAUUUAUUGGGUUUAAAGGGUGCGUAGGCUGUGCGUUAAGUCAGGGGUGAAAUGCCGUCGCUCAACGACGGAGCUGCCCUUGAUACUGGCGUGCUGGAGUACGGAUGCCGUUGGAGGAAUGAGUGGUGUAGCGGUGAAAUGCUUAGAUAUCACUCAGAACACCGAUUGCGAAGGCAUCUGACGAAUCCGUCACUGACGCUGGGGCACGAAAGCGUGGGGAUAGAACAGGAUUAGAUACCCUGGUAUUCCACGCCGUAAACGAUGAUGACUAACCGUCGGCGAUAGACAGUCGGUGGCCAAGCGAAAGCGAUAAGUUAUCCACCUGGGGAGUACGUUCGCAAGAAUGAAACUCAAAGGAAUUGACGGGG
rnacentral:rRNA from 1 species